rnacentral:rRNA from 1 species
GUCCACGCCCUAACGAUGUCAACUGGUUGUUGGACGGCUUGCUGUUCAGUAACGAAGCUAACGCGUGAAGUUGACCGCCUGGGGAGUACGGCCGCAAGGUUGAAACUCAAAGGAAUUGACGGGACCCGCACAAGCGGUGGAUGAUGUGGUUUAAUUCGAUGCAACGCGAAAACCUUACCUACCCUUGACAUGUCAAGAAUUUUGCAGAGAUGUGAAAGUGCUCGAAAGAGAACUUGAACACAGGUGCUGCAUGGCCGUCGU